rnacentral:rRNA from 1 species
AAAGGAAUAGACGGGGGCCCGCACAAGCGGUGGAGCAUGUGGUUUAAUUCGAAGCAACGCGAAGAACCUUACCAGGGCUUGACAUCUACCUGACCGACGUGGAAACACGUCCUUCCCUCGGGACAGUUAGACAGGUGGUGCAUGGUUGUCGUCAGCUCGUGUCGUGAGAUGUUGGGUUAAGUCCCGCAACGAGCGCAACCCUUGUCCUUAGUUGCCAAUCCGGCACCCAGGUGGGUAUACACUCUUCCUAGAGCAUUAUACCCAGCUGAGUGUCGGGGGCUCUCUAAGGAGACUGCCGCAGACAAUGCGGAGGAAGGUGGGGACGACGUCAAAUCAUCAUGCCCCUUAUGCUCUGGGCUACACACGUGCUACAAUGGCCUGCACAACGGGUAGCGAAUUUGUGAAAACAAGCCAAUCCCUUGAAAACAGGUCUCAGUUCGGAUUGUAGGCUGCAAUUCGCCUACAUGAAGCCGGAAUCGCUAGUAAUCGCGGAUCAGCACGUCGCGGUGAAUACGUUCCCGGGCCUUGUACACACCGCCCGU